GCAGUGGUGGUUCAGUGGUAGAAUCUCACCUCCCAUGGGGGAAACCUGGGUUCCAUUCCUGGCCAAUGCA
rnacentral:tRNA from 1 species